rnacentral:rRNA from 1 species
GACAGAGGGUGCAAACGUUGUUCGGAAUUACUGGGCGUAAAGCGCGUGUAGGCGGCUAUGCAAGUCGGAUGUGAAAGCCCUCGGCUCAACCGGGGAAGUGCACCCGAAACUGCAAAGCUAGAGUCUCGGAGAGGAUCGUGGAAUUCUCGGUGUAGAGGUGAAAUUCGUAGAUAUCGAGAGGAACACCGGUGGCGAAGGCGCCUAUCUGGCUGACAACUGACGCUGAGACUCGAAAGCAUGGGGAGCAAACAGG